rnacentral:lncRNA from 1 species
CUCCGCCCACUCGCGUCUCCGCCCGGACCUGCGACGGUCCCGCCCCCUUGACGGGGCCGCGCGGGCGAGUUCCAUGCCUGUCCAGCGCUGAGAGCUGCCGGCCAACUUCGCGGUCUCCACGUCGCGCUUAACGUGGCAGCAGCACGCACUUCCAGCAUCUUUUUUUAGACAGCAUCUUUUUCAGCCUCGCUCUGUCGCCGAGGCUGGAGGGCAGUGGCGCGAUCUAGGCUCACUGCAGCCUUGACCUCCCGGGUUCAAGCGAUCCUCCUGCCUCAGCCUCCGGAGUAGCUGGGACCACAGGCGCGCGCCGCCACGCCCGGCUGGUUUGUUACUUUUAUUUUUGUCUCCCUAUUUUGCCCAGGCUAGUCUGGAACUCCUGGGCUCAAGCGAUCCGCCCACCUCGGUCUUCGAAAGUGCUGGGAUUCCAGGCGUGAGCCGCCGCGCCGGCCUUAACAGCGCAUUUUCACCAGCCCCGCCCCGGCCGCGCGCGGCACUGGAAACCCCAGCGCCUUCUGGACGGCGAGGGUGACGCACUGGCCCUCUUCCUCGGUGUCCUCAGGUGCGUGGCGGCGGCAGUGAGAAUGAGUUCUUCGAGAUCGCCGGGAGACCACACAAUAACGACGAAGUUACUUGCCGGGCUACCCGCCGAGACUUGAAAACUUCGCGGCGACUUCUCUCGCCGGCCUUAGCAUCGCCCCCAUUUUUCAGGUUACAGGACAGGCCUGCAACUGCAAAACGCUUUGUAAACCACAGGGCCCCGCGCGGGUGUGCGCCACUGGGUUAGCUGAGCUGCAGCCCGGGCCGGGCGGGCUGGGACGUGAGCAAGCCGGGGGAGACGGGAGAGCCAUGGGGAGCCAGAUCCCACCUUCGCGUGACCUUGGGCAAAUCACAACCUCGCCUAAGGCCCGGAAUGACUCUGCGCGGAGAGGAAGAGCACUGAGUGCGGGAGGGCAUCGACGUUUUGGUGCCCCCACUGGUCGCGUCCGGCGCUGGAGGAGCCCAGUCAGCCGGCGCCUGCCGGGUUAGCACGUGGACUCCGAGGGGCCAACUAUCAGCUUUCCCUGACAAAAUGCCUUUGAGCUCCCCCACAGCUCUGAAACUCCAGCUUGGGAGCAGGGAGAGUGCAAUCUGUGACCUGUAAAGGGGCGCUGGGCAAAAGGGCCCGAGAGAAGGCGUCCUUUCCAUUCCCUUCCCAUCUCAAGCUGAGUUCAGAAAUGACACGAAAUAAUUUAAUCAACUAUCAGUCAAGGUCGGGCUCACGCCUGUAAUCCCAGCAGUUUGGGAGGCCGAGGUGGGCGGAUCACCUGAGGACAGGAGUUCGAGACCAGCCUGACCAACAUGACGAAGCCCCGUCUCUACUAAAAAUACAAAAAUUAGCCAGCGGUGGUGGUGCGCACCUGUAGUCUCAGCUACUUGGGAGGCUGAGGCCAGAGAAUCGCUUGAGCCCGCGAGGUCGAGGCUGCAGUGAGCCGAGAUCACACCACUGCACUCCAACCUGGAUGACAGAGGGAGACUCUGUCUCAAAAAAUAAUAAAUAAAUAAAUAAAUAAAUAAACUAUCGGUCAAGGUGAAAGCCUACUCUCCGCCAAGGUUCUUUACAACUUAGACGUUUUGGUUUACGGAACAGGGGAGGAAACUGAGGGCUCUUGUGUGUAGUGACUUUACUCGUGUGGAGGAGAACCCAGACUUUCCCUGCACACACUCUCCCGUUUUAUGGAUGAGAAAAGGGGGGCCCCAAAGGUCAAAUCGCCCCAAGGUCACUCAAAUGAAA